GACGAACGCUGGCGGCGUGCCUAAUACAUGCAAGUAGAACGCUGAAGGAGGAGCUUGCUUCUCUGGAUGAGUUGCGAACGGGUGAGUAACGCGUAGGUAACCUGCCUGGUAGCGGGGGAUAACUAUUGGAAACGAUAGCUAAUACCGCAUAAGAGUAGAUGUUGCAUGACAUUUACUUAAAAGGUGCAAUUGCAUCACUACCAGAUGGACCUGCGUUGUAUUAGCUAGUUGGUGAGGUAACGGCUCACCAAGGCAACGAUACAUAGCCGACCUGAGAGGGUGAUCGGCCACACUGGGACUGAGACACGGCCCAGACUCCUACGGGAGGCAGCAGUAGGGAAUCUUCGGCAAUGGACGGAAGUCUGACCGAGCAACGCCGCGUGAGUGAAGAAGGUUGUCGGAUCGUAAAGCUCUGUUGUAAGAGAAGAACGAGUGUGAGAGUGGAAAGUUCACACUGUGACGGUAGCUUACCAGAAAGGGACGGCUAACUACGUG
rnacentral:rRNA from 1 species